rnacentral:rRNA from 1 species
CAAGUCGAGCGAUGAAUCUACUUCGGUAGUGAAUUAGCGGCGAACGGGUGAGGAACACGUGAGGAAUCUGCCUUCAACACUGGGAUAACUCCGGGAAACCGGGGCUAAUACCGGAUAUGAGCUCUGAUCGCAUGGUUGGGGCUGUAAAGUUUUUCGGUUGAAGAUGACCUCGCGGCCUAUCAGCUUGUUGGUGAGGUAAUGGCUCACCAAGGCGACGACGGGUAGCCGGCCUGAGAGGGCGACCGGCCACACUGGGACUGAGACACGGCCCAGACUCCUACGGGAGGCAGCAGUGGGGAAUAUUGGGCAAUGGAGGAAACUCUGACCCAGCGACGCCGCGUGCGGGAUGAAGGCCUUCGGGUUGUAAACCGCUUUCAGUAGGGAAGAAGCGAAAGUGACGGUACCUACAGAAGAAGCACCGGCUAACUAUGUGCCAGCAGCCGCGGUAAUACAUAGGGUGCAAGCGUUGUCCGGAAUUAUUGGGCGUAAAGAGCUCGUAGGUGGUUUGAUACGUCGGGUGUGAAAUUCAGGGGCUCAACCCCUGACCUGCAUUCGAUACGGUCAAGCUAGAGUUUGGUAGGGGAGACUGGAAUUCCUGGUGUAGCGGUGGAAUGCGCAGGUAUCAGGAGGAACACCGAUGGCGAAGGCAGGUCUCUGGGCCAAUACUGACACUGAGGAGCGAAAGCGUGGGGAGCGAACAGGAUUAGAUACCCUGGUAGUCCACGCCGUAAACGGUGGGCGCUAGUUGUGCGAACCUUCCACGGUUUGUGCGACGCAGCUAACGCAUUAAGCGCCCCGCCUGGGGAGUACGAUCGCAAGAUUAAAACUCAAAGGAAUUGACGG